GGGGACUGUUCUCAACUAUGUGGCCUUGCCACAGUAGGUUUGGAGGAAGGGGUCAGGUGUACCAGCUAACUAAACCUUCUCUUAGGAUCCUAUGCUCACGAUAGAUGCAUACCGUCAUGCUAACAUCAAUUGUUUAUAUUUAAUACUGGUUCUAAUUUAAAAUACUACAAGGAAUGGUCAAUUCAACCCAAUGUGGGAGAACAUGCUUUUAAUUCCUGGCACUUGGCAAACUGAGGCAGAAGCAUUAAAGUUCAACAUCUGCCUGGACUGUGGAGCAAGUUCAAGGGCAGUCUGAGUUCCAUGGUGAAGUUUCAGGCAAGCCUGGGCUACAUACAGAGCUCUGGGCUAGCAUGAGCUAACAUAAUGGGACUCCUUCCUACU
rnacentral:lncRNA from 1 species